UUACACAUGCAAGUCGUACGAGAGUUUUUAACUCAAGUGGCGGACGGGUGAGUAACACGUAAGAAUUUGCCUCUAGGAGGGGGAUAACAACUGGAAACGGUUGCUAAUACCCCAUAUGCUUUCGAGUGAAAUGGAUUUCCGCCUAGAGAGAAGCUUGCGGCUGAUUAGCUUGUUGGUGAGGUAAUGGCUCACCAAGGCGACGAUCAGUAUCUGGUUUGAGAGGACGAUCAGACACACUGGAACUGAGACACGGUCCAGACUCCUACGGGAGGCAGCAGUGGGGAAUUUUCGCCAACGGGGCAAAUCCCGACGGAGCAAUACCGC
rnacentral:rRNA from 1 species